rnacentral:rRNA from 1 species
GAUGAACGCUGGCGGCGUGCUUAAGACAUGCAAGUCGAACGGAGUGUGUAGCAAUACUCACUAAGUGGCGAAUGGGUGAGUAACACGUAGGCGACCUGCCCUGAAGUGCGGAAUAACAGUCCGAAAGGAUUGCUAAUACCGCAUGUGGUCCCGGGCGUUAGAGAACCGGGUCUAAAGCAGUAAUGCGCUUCAGGAGGGGCCUGCGGUCCAUCAGCUAGUUGGAGGGUAAUGGCCUACCAAGGCAACGACGGAUAGGGGACCUGAGAGGGUGGCCCCCACCAUUGUC